GUCUAUUUAGUUUAAGUAAUAUAAUUUAAAACAUUGAUUUGUGGAAUCAGGAAUUUUUUUUGAAAUUAGGCU
rnacentral:tRNA from 1 species